GGGAUUGUAGCUCAGCGGUAGAGCGCUCACACCUAGCAUGUGAGAGGCACUGGGUUCGAUCCUCAGCACCA
rnacentral:tRNA from 1 species